AAAAUACUUUGUCACAGACCACAUUUAGCUACCACGGACAACUUUGAACAUAUGACAACAAACAGUAUUUAUGCUUAGUGUAAAAUAACGCUGGAGACCGACGUCAACAAAAGCUAAAGUAUUAGCACCGUCGAGUCAGAUCCUGACUAUGUCCUGGAGCAGCCGGCUAGGAAUGGACGAGGGAGAGGGAGAGGGAGAGGAAGAGGGCGAGCUAGUGGACGUGGACGUGGCAGAGGGUCUGGCCGGGGGAGAGGACAGAGUCAGCUUGAAGACCCUCUGGCUGAAGAUGACUUCAGCAGAGUACAACUACUACAAGCUCGACGGAUAUCAGAUGAACAGGCCAGAAUUCAGAGUUUGAGCCUGCAGCAGUGUCGGGAGCUUCUGGGGAGAUGUCUGUUCAGGGAUCCCAGCCUCAUUUUUGAUCUAAUGGUCAGCGCUCCUCCACCAGGUCCUCCUGGCCAGGACCCCAAUCAACCUGAGUGGUGUGUCUGCAUGAGGUGCAGGGAAAUGCCCACUGACGUGGAAAGGAAGUGCUGUGGCCAGCCACCACAGAACUGCAUUUCCCUGCUACCUCAUGUGGACCUCUACAUCCUCCAUGAGGGUGUCCUUCGCCUGGCCAGGAGGAUCUGGAACGACAUUAGGGCUCAGCAGGACGUACCCAAUCCCGGAGAGGACAACAGACAGUUCCGGUAUGCUGCUUACCGGCAGUUUGUCGUGUGGCAGUAUGGAGCCUUGGGGCAGGGUAACAGAACAGUAAUUCCCAGCUGUUGUGUGUGGAGGAUUAGGGACAAAUACCCUGAUCCCCACCACCAAUAUGUGGG